rnacentral:rRNA from 1 species
CAUAAGACAUGCAAGUCGAACGAACUUAAUCGAUUCUUUUAGAUUCGAAGCGGUUAGUGGCGGACUGGUGAGUAACACGUAAGCAACCUACCUGUUAGAGGGGAAUAACAGUGAGAAAUCACUGCUAAAACCGCAUAUGCCGUGAACAUCGCAUGAUGAAAACGGGAAAAGAGCAAUCUGCUAAUAGAUGGGCUUGCGUCUGAUUAGCUAGUUGGUGUGGUAAAGGCAUACCAAGGCGACGAUCAGUAGCCGGACUGAGAGGUUGAACGGCCACAUUGGGACUGAGAUACGGCCCAGACUCCUACGGGAGGCAGCAGUCGGGAAUAUUGCGCAAUGGAGGAAACUCUGACGCAGUGACGCCGCGUAUGGGAAGAAGGUUUUCGGAUUGUAAACCAUUUUAGACAAGGAAGAAACAAGACAGUACUUGUAGAAUAAGCUCCGGCUAACUACGUGCCAGCAGCCGCGGUAAUACGUAGGGAGCAAGCGUUAUCCGGAUUUAUUGGGUGUAAAGGGUGCGUAGACGGGAAGGUAAGUUAGUUGUGAAAUCCCUCGGCUCAACUGAGGAACUGCGACUAAAACUGCUUUUCUUGAGUGCUGGAGAGGAAAGUGGAAUUCCUAGUGUAGCGGUGAAAUGCGUAGAUAUUAGGAGGAACACCAGUGGCGAAGGCGACUUUCUGGACAGCAACUGACGUUGAGGCACGAAAGUGUGGGGAGCAAACAGG